AUUCCAGCUCCAAUAGCGUAUAUUAAAAUUGCUGCAGUUAAAAAGCUCGUAGUUGGAUCUUGGGCGCAGGCUGGCGGUCCGCCGCAAGGCGCGCCACUGCCCGCCUGGCCUUCCUCUCGGUCUCCGCCCGGUUCUCUUGACUGAGUGCCGGGCGCGGCCGAAACGUUUACUUUGAAAAAAUUGGAGUGUUCAAAGCAGGCCGUGAGCCUGGACAGCAGAGCAUGGAAUAAUGGAAUAGGACCUCGGUUCUAUUGCGUUGGUUUUCGGAACUCGAGGUAAUGAUUAAGAGGGACUGACGGGGGCAUUCGUAUUGCGGUGUGAGAGGUGAAAUUCUUGGAUCGCCGCAAGACGACCGACUGCGAAAGCAUUUGCCAAGAAUGUUUUCAUUA
rnacentral:rRNA from 1 species